rnacentral:rRNA from 1 species
UACGUAGGGGGCAAGCGUUGUUCGGAAUUACUGGGCGUAAAGGGCGCGUAGGCGGCACGGCAAGUCAGGAGUGAAAGCCCGGGGCUCAACCCCGGAACGUCUUUUGAAACUGCCGAGCUAGAGUGCGGAAGAGGCAACUGGAAUUCCCAGUGUAGCGGUGAAAUGCGUAGAUAUUGGGAAGAACACCUGAGGCGAAGGCGGGUUGCUGGGCCGACACUGACGCUGAGGCGCGAAAGCCAGGGGAGCGAACAGG